GAUGAACGCUGGCGGCGUGCUUAACACAUGCAAGUCGAACGGAGCUGUAUUGAAACCUAGUGAUAUGCAGCUUAGUGGCGGACGGGUGAGUAACGCGUGGGCAACCUGCCGCAUACCGGGGGAUAACACUUAGAAAUAGGUGCUAAUACCGCAUAAGCGCACAGAGCCGCAUGGCUUGGUGUGAAAAACUCCGGUGGUAUGCGAUGGGCCCGCGUCUGAUUAGCUAGUUGGCGGGGUAGAGGCCCACCAAGGCGACGAUCAGUAGCCGGCCUGAGAGGGCGGACGGCCACAUUGGGACUGAGACACGGCCCAA
rnacentral:rRNA from 1 species